UAAAUAAAAGGAUACCUUCGGGUAUACCCCAUCCGUGUCUAUCUACUCUUGUUGCUUUGGCAGGCCGUGGUCCCCCACUGUGGGCUCUGCCUGCAUGUGCCUGCCAGGGGACCAAACUCUGAAUUUUAGUGAUGUCUGAGUACUAUAUAAUAGUUAAAACUUUCAACAACGGAUCUCUUGGUUCUGGCAUCGAUGAAGAACGCAGCGAAAUGCGAUAAGUAAUGUGAAUUGCAGAAUUCAGUGAAUCAUCGAAUCUUUGAACGCACAUUGCACCCGGUGGUAUUCCGCCGGGUAUGCCUGUUCGAGCGUCUGUAGAACAACACCAAGACCAAGCUUAGGCUUGAUUUUGAGGUUGCGGCUUCGGCUGCAGCCUUUAAGAGAGGUGGCGGCGUCCGAUGGACUCUAAGCGUAGUAAUUUCUCCUCGCUACAGAGUCUGCCGGCGCAUUUGGUAACUCACUCCAAGCCAACCAAACCCCCCCAAUUUUAGUUUGACCUCGGAUCAAGUAGGGAUCCCCUUG
rnacentral:rRNA from 1 species